UAGGGCCCAACCUAACAUUUUGGGCCUAGAGCUGCCACUCAUAAGUGCUAAAUUUUGUUAUUAACGUUAUUUCUCAUCACUUCGUGGGGGUGGGGGAUACAACCCUUAUUUUGCAAUAUUAGCCAAAGUAUUGCUGUAUAAUUCUGUUACCUUUUCCAACCUGUUUAACUUUUUUUAGUCAGAUGUUGAUUGUGCAUGUCUAUAAAAUGUACAGCCUUGAUCUUAGUCCUAGCAGGCUUACAUCUGUGACCCCAAGACUGAUGGCUAGAAAGAGUCACUCUGGCAAACCAACUGCAAGGCCAUUUAGUGCUCCAGAUACCUUGCAAGCUAAAGCAUGUCAUCAGAAAGGUUGAAAAUGUUCUGAAGUUGGAUGUCCUCUGUCAGCAAGAUAGCCAAGCCCAUUUACCAUCUACUCUUGACCAUAUGGACACUUCUCAUUGGUGCCCUCCUAAAAGUGCCAAUAGUCAGAAUGACGAGUCAUUUCUAACAGCUUUAAUUGAAAUGAAGCUCCUCUGAAAGAAGGUGUUUUUAAUCUUGAAGAAACAGAAAGGAAGAAUAAUUUUCACCUGUCUAAAUCUGCUUCAGAAGAAAAGAAAAACCUCAUCUCCUUAACUAUUGAGGAGGAAAUGGAAAAACCAAAUGCCAAAAUAAUCAAUGUGGGCUCUCCAAAAGCAAAAUCUCCCAGGCCGGUGAUGGUAAUGUCCUGUUUACCGUCCCUGUUGUGUUUGAAAGUGAGUGAAACAUACCCCAUCAUUUAUGCUGAAGAAGAAUAUAUGCAAAACUUUAUUUUGAAGAGGUGGCUGCAUUUACAUGGAGAUAAAGUGUCUUAUGACUCAGAAAAGGAAAAUGGUGAGGUACAAACAAAUCCAAAUUCAGUUUUACAAAACAACUGCGAUUAUGCCCUUGCCUUAGUUGGAAAGGAAGAAAAGAAUACUUUUAAUGUAGCUGUGAAGGGGAAUAAAAAGCUAAAAAGAACAUUAUCCGGGAAACGGAAAAUCACUAUUCAUAUUUUAUCUUCAGAUGGAAAAAGUAGGAGCUUAAAAGAUUCACAGAAGGAAAAAACUUUUGUGCAGAAAAUAGUUGGUAGCUUUCAUGAUGUUGAAGUACCAAUCAGUAAGCUUACAUCAAAAGACAGGAAUGUUUCAGCAACAGGGGCUGAAUGUAACCCUGAUGGCCUUGUUAUAUUUGGAGUAAACCCAAAAGCUGCAGCACACCAAUCUGCCAAAGCAAAUGCAGCAACCGUCACUAAAUCUCACGGCUCUUACAGCAAGCCACUAACCAUGGCCUCCCAGCUUCAAAAAAAAGGCAGGUUGGCUCAUUCAUCACAGUUGGAUUAUAUAUCCAUAACAAAACCUAUUAAAAUACCUGACUGUCCAAAUGUCAAUUCAGAGUCAUUUCACAAAAUCUCAAUGAAACGUGAUCAUUUGGAAAACAAAAGGAUUAUUCUGUCUGGGGCUUGUUUUAAGGAAAAACCUCCACUUAGUCAGAACAAUGAAGUAUCCAAACCUGCCAGGUGUUCUCAACCAGAUUCUUGCAAGGAAGAAACAUCAGCUGAGAAAAAGCUAAAUAAUAAGGAACAUUGCAUAGAUAGUAGGAAAGGCCAAGAAUGGGAUAAUACUGUGGAAUUCUGGAGCACUCGCAGAUCUUCAGCAUCACUGAAAAAUUCACAUGCAGUGCCAGACAACAGCCCUGAGCCCCAGAAAAAAGCAAUGCUACCUGAACGUCCAGCAUCAUUACCUGUUAACUUCAAUCAUCCAAUUAUUAGUAUACCAACCGCACAAUGUGAUGCCUCGGAAUUCAGGAUAAAAAAAGUUGAUGCUGAAUUUACAGACGACACUGAUACUCCAAAGGACACCAGUCGUUACAAUUAACUGAUGGUAUGUCUAACAAUGGGCUACCAAAGAUAUAUGGGAUCGUUCCAUUUCUGAAAUGAAUGCAUCUGCCAAUCUAGAUGUUAUGGUAAUUUUUUCUCAGAACAGCUAUUAUUCUGUACAUGAACUUAUGUAAGCCAUGAGAUGUUUGCCAUUAAAUGAAUUAUGAUAUAGCAAUUAUAAGGGGAUGUGUGUCUCUUAAAAAUUACGAUAAUUGAUAGGCCUUUAUUCAAUGGUUUUACUAGGCACAUAUAAGAAGCAUUAAACUCCUAUUUCAAGCACAGAAGUUACUUCUUUUAAAUCCUGAAUGACUUUGUGUGUGAACAUUUUAAUGCAUUAAGAUAUUAUCUUUACUUUUAAAUAGAGAGAGAAAAGGUAUUUAGAGUAUUAUCCACCUUUCUUCCUUAAUUUAUUGCAUAGAUUUAAAAAAUCUUACAACAUCCAGUACUGUGAAUUUCACAUUGCUUAUCAUCUAUGUUGUAUAUUUCAAGAUUCUAGCCCAAGUCCUCCCUUGCAAUGUUAACAAAAUUGUAUUUAGUGGAAUUAGGCUUUUAAUAUUUAGCAAUAUUGGAUUAGGCUGGAGUUCUCCAUAAAAUACAUUGUAGACAACAUGCGUAGACUAAUGACUACUUUGAUUCACUUAUUCUCAGCUAAUAUUAGGCACUUAAAAAAAAGAAGAAGAAAAGGCUUUCAGCGGGAUAGAUUGUCUCCAUAUGGGAAGUGUUUGGAACUGAAAUGAAUGCAGGAGAUUUUCAUCAUGCUACUUAGAAGAUAUCUUACCAGACGAAACUAAAUUUACACAUUGUACUCAGACCUGAUAGUUU
ensembl:lncRNA